UCUAGAUAUAUAGAGUAUACACAAUUUACUAUCUAAUAUCGUAUUUACUUUGCAUACGGUUUUCUUAUUAAUCGAUCACUCUUUCCUUUUUUUUGUAUACAAACAUUUAUAUGUUCUCAAUUCUGAAGAUAUUAAGUUUUUGUUUUUUUUUUGUAAAUUCAAAUAUUCUGUCGCAUCCUAUACUGUUUGAUUUUUUUUUUUAUUUUAUCGUCCUAAAAUUAACGUAACAUAUGUAUGUGCAUACAUAAACCUAUAUGUAGAGUACGUUUGAAUUCUCAGAAUACUGACAGACGAAUUCCACCGUGUUACCCUGGAGUCCCUCGUGAAUCCGAAGAGCGGUCAAGUCUCCCCGUGUCCUCCUAUACCUUUACGGUUGGCUAUUCUUUUCUAUAUUUGGGGUAAUGAAAUCAAAAUUGGUCAGAAAAAAAAAGAAGAAUGUAGUGAGAACUCCGUACCUACGUACUUAUACUUCUUGAUCCUCCUCGCUCAACGACAACUACCAAGUUCCUGUUUGUUCGGGUCAGAUAGGUGCAUAUAGCUACCGCUUCUGGCUUCCCCGACUGGAACUUAUUUCUAAUCCAAGAUAUGUGAGAAUAUGGGAAAACACGGAUUGUAAAGAUGAGGCUAAUUAUUGAAGUAAAGGAAAAAUAUGUAGAUCCUAUAAUCUGGUACUAAUAUGUA